GACGAACGCUGGCGGCGUGCUUAACACAUGCAAGUCGAACGGAAAGGCCCUGCUUUUGUGGGGUGCUCGAGUGGCGAACGGGUGAGUAACACGUGAGUAACCUGCCCUUGACUUUGGGAUAACUUCAGGAAACUGGGGCUAAUACCGGAUAGGAGCUCCUGCUGCAUGGUGGGGGUUGGAAAGUUUCGGCGGUUGGGGAUGGACUCGCGGCUUAUCAGCUUGUUGGUGGGGUAGUGGCUUACCAAGGCUUUGGCGGGUAGCCGGCCUGAGAGGGUGACCGGCCACAUUGGGACUGAGAUACGGCCCAGACUCCUACGGGAGGCAGCAGUGGGGAAUAUUGCACAAUGGGCGGAAGCCUAAUGCAGCAACGCCGCGUGCGGGAUGACGGCCUUCGGGUUGUAAACCGCUUUCGCCUGUGACGAAGCGUGAGUGACGGUAAUGGGUAAAGAAGCACCGGCUAACUACGUG
rnacentral:rRNA from 1 species